AGCUGGCUGAGGGGUCAGGGUGUAGAAGUUAGCUGGCUUAGGGGCCAGGUUGACAGUUAGCUGGCUGACGGGGCCAGGUGUAGAAGUUAGCUGGCUGAGGGCCAGGUGUAGAAGUUAGCUGGCUGAGGGGCCAGGUGUAGAAGUUAGCUGGCUGAGGGGCCAGGUGUAGAAGUUAGCUGGCUGAGGGGCCAGGUGUAGAAGUGGGUAACAGUUAGCUGGCUGAGGGGCCAGGUGUAGAAGUGGGUAACAGUUAGCUGGCUGAGGGGCCAGGUGUAGAAGUGGGUAACAGUUAGCUGGCUGAGGGGCCAGGGUCGAAAGUGGUGGUAAAUUAGCUGGCUGGGGGCCAGGUGUAGAGUUGGUAACAGUUAGCUCACUUAGCCGUUUACAUAAUUGAGACUUAAUUCUCUAUUGAAAAACAGUGGUUUGCUUGGCGCAAUGCCAUUAUGGGCGUGUUAUGUGAGUUGGGUCAUUUACCAGCUAGAUAGUCCUCAUUACCUCAAGCCCACCCAUGGAUACACGGAUGACUUGAAAUGCUAUGGUUGUGUCACUUUACACAUGACUAUGUCCCGCAUGGCAAAGUAACAAGUAUAUUUCUGGUGAAAUCAUGUCUUGGCCAGUUAUUCAUUGUUCACCCCUAAUUCCUAAUUCGUUACAUUCGUCCCCCCCAUGUUACUGUCUUGCCACAGCCGUGUUAACUCCCUGGCUCUCUCAGCGUCUGCGCCGUUUACUGCAGUCUGAGCAGCCGGAUCUGAAGCUGGGGUUGUGGCAGGCUGGGCUGUCGUCUUUGGCUAGAAUAGACGGGUUUCAGAUGUUAAGCAAUUCUUCUCCAACAAUCACUAGUACAUUUCACUCUCAGAAAAUAAACAUUUGUUGUUAAGAAAGCUGUCAUACAAUGUUAAUGGGUUAAUGGGAACAAUUUUCAUUCCCUCAAAUAAAUUAAAUAAAAGCACACAUUUUCUUAUUUUAUCCGGAGCGAUAAAAUCUAAUUGUUUAGUAUGAGUUAGUGUGCAUUAAUGAAGACAUAUGGGCCACACAUGAAUGGAACACCAAUAUGGAACGUUAAGUGUCUACAGUAAUAUGGAGUGUCUACAGUAAUAUGGAGUGUCUACAGUAAUAUGGAGUGUCUACAGUAAUAUGGAGUGUCUACAGUGUCUACAAUAUGGGAGUUCUAACAGUAAUAUGGAGGUCCUACAUCGACAUAAUAU
rnacentral:lncRNA from 1 species